UACAGAGGGGGCAAGCGUUGUUCGGAAUUACUGGGCGUAAAGGGCGCGUAGGCGGCCUUCUAAGUCAGACGUGAAAUCCCUCGGCUCAACCGGGGAACUGCGUCUGAGACUGGAAGGCUUGAAUCCGGGAGAGGGAUGCGGAAUUCCAGGUGUAGCGGUGAAAUGCGUAGAUAUCUGGAGGAACACCGGUGGCGAAGGCGGCAUCCUGGACCGGCAUUGACGCUGAGGCGCGAAAGCCAGGGGAGCAAACGGG
rnacentral:rRNA from 1 species